rnacentral:lncRNA from 10 species
AAUGUAUGCAAUGUCUUUAUUUCAUCCUCAUUCUUAAAGGAUAUUUUCAUCAGCAACACCACACCCUCCUGAUCACCAUAGCUUUAUGGUAAGACACCCCUACUCUGUCCAGACCCAACUGUCAACAGAAGCCAAAGCCAUCUGGAGGAGCAUGCAACAACAAGAAACAAAUUUAUUAGCUAACCUAACCACUAAUGACGCAAGAGACAAUUCUAAGGACUUUCAAAACAGCAAAGUAGGAGCAGCUGCUACCUCUAGGGAUGAGGGAUGCAAUUGUCCAAUUAUUGGUGAAAUUGUCAUUUCAUGCUAUUGGCUAUUUGAAAUUCCUCCUCUAAUUUCAGAAUAAAUCACUGAAAUUGACAUCGGCCAGUCUGAAUUUCAAGAAAUUACCUGCUGAAGACAAGAGGGAUCUCUUCUUCAGAUUUGCAGUCUGGGGAAGACACAGCCUCUACUGUACUUUAGAACCUGAGAUAUGGUGGUGGAGGGAGCCCUGGGUCGAGUGGUCAGAGCUCCGGACUCCAGCCCCAUGCAACUUCAAAAUAUGACAAAUGUCUUGAAGGGGAGAUUGGCAUGCAGAUGAGGAAGGCCCUCUCGCCAACACAUUUGUAUUUCCUCUGUACUGUGAGACUGUGGGAGAUUUACUGCGACAUUUAGAAGCUUUCUUCCAAACUCCUGGGCCUCCGACACUGGUUCUAAACUCAGCAAAUGUUCUUUGGGAAAAACAGACAGUGCAUGUGAGGCCCCUCGAGUUUGGAAUUUAUGUCUCCAGCUUCACAUGGUCUCUCAAGUGCUUAUGCUUUUCUUCUCUCUGCCACCCACAUUCCCACAUCCCGCCCACCCCCCAACUUUCCUCCCUUCACCUUCCCAUGGAGACUUUUUGCCUGGGCUAAAUCUGAUCCUCAGCCCACUCUCAGAAUCGAUAAAUGCCCCUAGGUGAUUGUAAGCUCACCUAAGAUAUACUUUUUCUCCUCUAGAAUUUUAGUUUAUUAGAUUUUUCUAGUUGUCUUUGCAAAAGCGUUAACAGGCUCUGACUUCUGACAUUCAACUAGAUGUGGAAUAUCCAACCCCUAGCAUUUCAUGGAAUGUACUGACCAAGAUAAAAUGUGUUCUUAUUAAACAAUGCCAUUUCUUGACCACUUCUGUUUUUAGGAAUUGUGGUAUCUGAGUCAUGGUGAUUAGAAGUACUAAUGAAAUAAAUGGGAAAAUUAAACUUCUACUAACAUUUCAUAUAGUAGGGAGAUGUCUGUGAAGAAUUAUAACUGGUACAGAUUUUGUGUUUAUAAACAAGGAGACAGAAAAUGCAGAAAAUAAAAAAUAUUUUAUUUAGUUUUAAA